rnacentral:rRNA from 1 species
AGUGGAUGCGAGCAUCUUUGUGGUCAAGUUGUUAAGGGCACAUGGUGGAUGUCUUGGCAUCAGGAGCCGAUGAAGGACGUGGGAGGCUGCGAUAAGCCUCGGGGAGCUGUCAACCGAGCUGUGAUCCGAGGGUGUCCGAAUGGGGAAACCCAGCACCUGUUAUGAGGUGUUACCCGUACCUGAAUAUAUAGGGUGCGUGGAGGGAACGCGGGGAAGUGAAACAUCUCAGUACCCGUAGGAAGAGAAAACACUAGUGAUUCCGUGAGUAGUGGCGAGCGAAAGCGGAGGAGGCUAAACCGUGCGCAUGUGAUACCUGUCAGGGGUUGUGUGUGCGGGGUUGUGGGA